GACGAACCGUGCGAACGUUGUUCGGAAUCACUGGGCUUAAAGGGCGCGUAGGCGGACUGCCAAGUCCGGGGUGAAAUCCUCCGGCUUAACCGGAGAAUUGCCUGGGAUACUGGCGGUCUUGAGGGAGGUAGGGGCACGCGGAACUUCCGGUGGAGCGGUGAAAUGCGUAGAGAUCCGGAAGAACACCGGUGGCGAAGGCGGCCCGCUGGGCAACUGCUGACACUGAGGCGCGACAGCGUGGGGAGCAAACAGG
rnacentral:rRNA from 1 species